rnacentral:piRNA from 1 species
UGGCACAGUAGAAAUGAGUUCAUUGCC